rnacentral:rRNA from 1 species
GCAGUAGCCACGGUAAAACGAAGGGUGCAAGCGUUACUCGGAAUUACUGGGCGUAAAGGGAGCGUAGGCGGUAUGGUAAGUCAGAUGUGAAAUCCCGGGGCUCAACCCCGGAACUGCAUCCGAUACUGCCGUGCUAGAGGACUGGAGAGGCAACUGGAAUUCUCGGUGUAGCAGUGAAAUGCGUGGAGAUCGAGAGGAACACUCGUGGCGAAAGCGAGUUGCUGGACAGUAUCUGACGCUGAGGCUCGAAGGCCAGGGUAGCGAAAGGGAUUAGAUACCCGCGUAGUCCCUGUCUCUUAUAA